rnacentral:rRNA from 1 species
UACAGAGGGGGCAAGCGUUAUUCGGAAUUAUUGGGCGUAAAGGGCGCGUAGGCGGCUUGGCAAGUGGAUGGUGAAAUCCCUCGGCUUAACCGAGGAACUGCCGUCCAAACUGCUUUGCUUGAGACCGGGAGAGGUGAGUGGAAUUCCCAGUGUAGCGGUGAAAUGCGUAGAUAUUGGGAGGAACACCAGUGGCGAAGGCGGCUCACUGGACCGGUACUGACGCUGAUGCGCGAAAGCGUGGGGAGCAAACAGGG